GUGAUAGCUAAAGCUCUGGCUAAGGAGUCUGUUCCAUGAGAUGUCAAACUGUACCAAUCCAUUUUGGUUAAAACAAGUCUCUGGUCUUUCAGGAGCUUUGCUGUGAACUUCAUAAACUUUGAUAUUUCACCAUGACAUGAUCCUCCUGUAAUACACAUAGCUUCCAACUGUAACCCCUUGGGGUUGCGAGGGCAUGGCACCUUUAAAACCUCAUCCUGAGGGAGAGGAAGUGCUGGUUGUUCCAAGGGGAGAGGCAUCAAGAGAGGGAGAGGACAGGACCGUGUGGUGUCUGUAGCUCCAGACAAGAGUGCCUACAUCGAGCAGGCCCUCGCGUACCAAAGCAGUCGAGAACCAGCCUGGAGCCCAGGAGGGACAGAGCAGCCAACCAGGAUGGGAUCCAUGGGGAGCACCGUGCCAGGAAGGAAUCCCCUGAGAAGGACAAACCGGAGCUGGACCCAGCAUCGCCAUCAUCACCCAGAACUGUAUGGGGCCAGGAGUAGUGGGGCUUGUGACUUUACACUGGGAAUGAGGGAGGUUGUUGCUCUGUGUGGAUUUGCAAGAGGGGCAGAAGAAGGCACCAGAGGGUUUUGUUGGGGAAAAUUUACUGGCGCUGAAGAUGACCAGGAGCACCCAAGACUUGCUGCUGGACUGGAACUCUGCCCAGGAUUCCUAACCUCUGAGUCUAGAUGCAUUGCUCAGCGUCUAUACUUUUAUAUUGUGGUACCCCUGGACCCUUGGAUCCUUGUGUUGGAUGUUACCCUGUUUUACUGCUCUAACUAUCUUUGUUAUUUUUUUCCAUUCAUCCUUCUGUAAACAAAUAUUUCCCUUUCCUAUAUUCAUUGUGCCAUUCCGUGGGAGAGGGGGAUGUUUACUCCACAGGGUACGGAACAGGUGUCCCUGGGGUGUAGGGAGUUUCCCUGCUGCAUUCCUGUGCAUGCAUUUCCUUGGCCAACCUGCCCUGCAGAGCGGACUCCAUCUUGGCUAUUAGGGUGCUACAGUUACACAAAAGCAUUUUUGACAAUAACCCACCAAGUACGAAUCAUACCUUUACAACAAAACUCUGCAUGGCUUAUAGAUUCAGCUUUCAACUUAUGUAUCAGGAACAUCUGAAAUACACUGUCUGUGGGUCAGAUCCUCAGCUGAUAUAAACCAGCAUAGCUCCAUUUACUUCAGUGGAAUGAUGUUGGUUUACUGGCCCUGUGUUUAACGAAGGGACUGAUCCUGAAACACUGGAGUCAACGAGAGCUUUCCUGUUGAAUUCAAGGGGAGCAGACUAUGCAAUUGUAAGCUCCUCAGGGCUGGGACAACGUCUUCCUCAAUGUUUGUUAAGUGCCAAGCACAUCAACCGUGCUCAACACGUCGUCGUCAUCAUCAUAUUAAGCAGCAAAAAGAGGAACAGAAUUGGACAGCUUUAUGCUGCAGCAUAUCUCUUGAGGACUUCAGAAUGGGAAGGAGAGAGAGUUCUGUUGUAACAUGCUAUACAGACCAAUUCUAAAUCACUCUUUGGCAAAACAGAAAGCUAUUAGGAGUCUCACUAAUUAACUGUCGCGCUAGUUUGAUGGUAUUUAAAUAAAAAUAAAAAGACCAUCCCAAGAUCUAUGCUGAAUGAGGAGGGUAGAGAUUUGUUCUCCCGUACAUGGUGGCACAGCCAAACUGUGGAUGGAAAUACAAGGGAUUCUCACCUGUGCAGCUGGGCUGAUGGAAAUAUCCCUGGGCUCUUGAUCCUUCAUGCUGAGCCUGCUCCCAGUGGGUCCCUUAUGGGAUUAUUGCAGCAGCCUAGUAAAACAGUUACUACUAGCUGGACUAAAUGCUACAGAAAGAUUGUGGAAAUUAAUUAACUCCUACCCUGAUCCUUACGAUGAUGGAUUACCUUCCAGCUCUUUUGGGACAGCCUCACGACAACAGGAGGUGGAAACACAUGACAGAUACGAGGGAUUUACUGCCAUGCGCCUUCUUGGUACCCUUCUGUGUUGAAACAGCAUUGGAGCUGCCAAGGGUCUGUCCUUGCUGCCUUCUGAUCAUGCAGUGAGGUGAGGAGGGAGGUUUCAGACCAAACUCAGUCCUGGUGUAAGUGAGUAUCUCCACUGAAUUCGAGGGUGAUGCACCCACAUAUACCAGUCUGAAUUUGGCCCCUUGUGUAUAAUGCUGGUGGGGAAAGUGAAUGGUUUGAACAAACAACCCCCUGUUCAUUCCCUUCAUCUCUCCUGCCCUGAUACCAGCCAUGUCUUCGGUCUGACAGUAUUCACAGUUUUAAACUUUUCUGUAUUUCCCAUAGCUCGGCACAAUCCAAACUGUGCCAGAACCACCAGUGUGUAUUAGGAUUGACAUUCACUGGAACACGAACGGACGCACACCUGGCAAAUGCAAUGGAUGACACAGGUCCGAGCACUUUGCAUUCAUGGUGAGCAGGAAGCUGAUUGUAUCAGCCAUAAGACGCCUAGUUUGCCAUUUAGUAGCCAAGCUGUUUGUUCAGCCCAUGUAUCAUUCUGCCAUGUGUUGAACCUAAUCUCGUGGCAGAGGCAGGAGGAAAUCUGGAUGUGGCCAUUUGGAUUGGGAAUUAAUCUAAAUGGCAAAAUGGAGGGGCUGAAUCUCCUCUCAGUUGCACGUGCCUGAAUCUCAAGUCACUUCAUAGAUGUUAAUGGAGAUACACUGGUGUAAAUUCCAGGGUAAAAGCAUUCUUAACAAGGAGAACAAAAUUUAGCAGCAGGAUCAAAGACAAUAUGACCCGAGAUACAGAUGAAAUUCUCCUCUUCACCACACACAGACUCUGACCUAUAUCUCUCUGCAGUAGCUACUCUCAUCACUAAAUAUUAUGACAUUGCUUUUGAUCUUUGCCAAGAAGCCAUACAGCUUUUUGCUGUAGUAAAUCUAGCUUGACCCUGUGCAGACAAGAAAGCAUGUGAUAUUUAACAGUCCGAAGAGCCAGGUAUGAUACGCAGUAAAAGUCUCAUUGUUCCAUCACAGCUCACUGAAAUAGAUCUUUAACUGUUUUCAAGCAGUUUAAUGCAGCUGAAACUGACUAGCAGGCAAACAAGUAAACACAGUGAAAAACAAUGACAAUGCUCCACAUUUAAAAAAAAAAAAAAGUUUGUGUUUAAUGCUAUAUAAUUUUUAGGGCUUCAAUUCCAGCCAGUUCAUAUUGCCAACAAAAUCCUAGCUAAGACACACUAUCUAUCACAACAGGUUUGACCCCAUUUUUAAUAUGUAGAGAAAGGACUUCAUAAUCCUACAGAACACUGAGCAAAUGGUACUCUUUGUGGCAACUUGAAUACUAGCCUAUUAAAAUCCAAACCCUCUCUUAUAGCAACUCCGAUUUUAAACACUCAGCCAUCUUUUCAGCCCAGAUUUUAAGCACUUUGCCAAGCAACUCUGUCUGAAGGGCAAAUCACUCCAGAAGUAGGCAGACAAUUAAUUUUCUUUUAUUCUGGAAGAGAGGAUUAUUGGAAUAAAUAAAAUAAUCAGCUUAGCCAAGAGCACAAUUGACAACUUCGAAAACCGGGGGACUUUCUCAUUUUUCCUUCCCAUUCAAGGUGUUCUUGGACAAAGCCUGCAAGGCACCUGCAGAACUUCUGGAGGUAAAUCGCGUGGGAGAGCUAACUCCCUGGAUGUAAAGGAUGUAAGGAAUACUUAAGAGAUUAUUGUCAUUUCAGACACUAUUAUUACUAAUUUUAACUGCUAUUUAGAAAGUAAAGAACAAUACAGAAAUGAAGGGCCAGACUGAUCUCCUCACUCUGGUGUAAAUCUAGAGUAACUCCACUGAAGUCACUGCAGUUCAAAUGGAUUUCCAUCAGUUUAGAGAAGGCUAGAAUCUGUACCUAAAUUAUGUGCAGGAGGAAGGUUACUUGGACAAGGUUUGGUGCUGAAUGCAGAGUAGAAGUGUGCUGCUUUCAGUUUCAUUUGCUUAUUCACUUUUUUUUUUUUUUUUUAACUAUUUGAGAUAUUUGGUUCUCUGUUUUGUGAUUAAUCCAGUUACUGGGAUGUCUGAAAUACCCUACGACGUUUAAACACACAGGUGGAUCUACUAAAUAUUUGGCAUUUAACUCCCAAUCUCCAACAGUAGAGGAGGGAGAGGGGAAAGGAGAGCACCAGUGUCAUACUACAAAGAGGGCAGAAUUUGAUUUACCAAGAGUUGUACACACACUACUGAAAGAUUCCAGAUCAUAAGCAGUUUGGGUUACAUAUGAGGGACAGUUUGGGAACUUUGUUUCAAGGUUGCUAAGGGCCUGACAAGGAAACCAAAGACUCCGAGAUAAAGAUUGAUGGACCCAAAGAUUCCCAAGAACACUAAGGACUGCAGAAGCACUGAGAAAUCAAAUGAUCUGGAAAAUAAAAUGAGAUUAAGAUAUAUCAAGCUAGUGGGGGCUCCUCCAGGCGCAGAGGCAGGGAAAGCAGACUUUUAGUUUGCAAUGGAUUAUGAAGGAGGUUAGGGACAGAUAAUUUCUAACGCUCACAAUGUGUUAUGGUGAGAUAUAUCCCCAGGCAAGCCAAUUAAGUAACACCUGUAUCGUUCUUGAAGAAAUAGCUGCUCUUGCAUUAAGGGGCUUGCACAUUAAAGUUGGUAGAUACAUCUGAGUCUGGUUUCAGGAUUCCAAUACUGUCCCCCUUCAGUAUCAUGAUUCAUAACACUAGAGUGAAAUAUGUGGCCCUGGGUUUACCUUGGAGAAGGCAGAGUGGAAAAAUGGAUCUAUAUCUUUUCUAAGGAGAACUUCAGUUUCUUUUGUUUUCCUUUCUAACUGCGAAUUACUGACAGCAAGUAGGUCAGGGAGUAGAGGACGCUCUAAGAAUGAUCUGUUGUGCACUUCCUUCUCUUCGCAAGCAACUAUGUCACUUCCUCUCUUCAAAGACUACCUUAAAAACCUGCCUGUUCCCCACCCACCUGUCCUUUCCCGGGUCUUUCCAUUCUCCCCUCCUUGUAACUAGCAUCGUUGCAUAUGUAUAAUUUACAUUUCAGAUCUUUCCCUUCGCUGUUUCAUUUAUUGUUCUUCCCCUGCAAGUUGCACACCAUCACUCUCUCCUUUCACUGUAUAUCAUUUUUCAAAGAAACUUUAUGGACAAUAACAACAUUUUGUUCCCCUGUAGCACCUUUCAUCCAAGAAUCCCAAGGUACUUUACCUAUGCUCAUUAAUUAAUUAAGCCUUGUCCUCCUGCUGGUAGCAUAGUUAUUAACCUUGUUUUGCAGAUGUGUAAAAGACUCUCUUUCCCUGAGAGAGAGCCUCUAAACUACUUCCCACUUUCUCUUUAUAUACCUGCCUUGAUAGACCCAGGUGAGACUCCUCUUUCCAGCCAGUGUAACCUACACCCUGCUCUGUCCCCUCCUAGUGGCAUCACACCAGGAGGCUGAGCAAUCUUCCUAGGGCAGAACUCCCAUGGCUGAUUAUGAUACAGUCCAAUUCUUCUUGCCCAUCCACCACAAGUCAUUGCAGAACACUCCACAGAGCUCGUGUAUGCUGAGGGAAGGUGGGGACCUGACUCAGGCAGAUGGACAGCCAUACUGAAUGUGUAGGUAGGACUCUGAUCCCUUCCCCACCAGUGCUGGAGGGACUGGCAGUGAACAAUGUUGCCAGAGCAGAGAGAGUGUAGCAGUCAGGAGCCCUCUGAGGGUUCUGAAAAGCUGAAAUGCAAUCUUUGAAUUGGAUUCCAAAAGGGCCAGGAGGCCAGGACAAGUGUUUGAGGAGAGGGGUGAUAUGAUCCCACUUCUAGUGCAAGACACAACAAGGCACAAGCAGAGACAAACACCGUGCUUUAAAGAAAACCCUUGCACAGUUUUCCAGCAAAAAGAGGAUUCAGCAUAGUGGACAAUUACAAUGCUUAAGCCAUAUGUCUGGCUUUCAGGUCAUUACCCACCUGAUAACGACCCGCUGAAGGAGUAAAGAUACUGAAGCAAAGGCAAUGAGCUCUAAUGGUCAUUAUUUGGCUAGUAAUGACUGAGGAAUAUGUAUCAUAUAGCCUAUCUGGUGAGUCGCUUUUGCCUUCAGAUCACUGCUGCAGCCCUAUAACAUUUCUGAGAACUGGUCUCAGGUGUCUGAAAGGCUGGUCAGUUCCACUUUCUUUUAUUUCUUAUGACCUGCUUUUAACAAACUCAGGGGCUGUCGUCUGCCAAAGAGCUAGGCAUCUACUAGUCAGCAAGACUCUAUUUGGCUUUCAGUUCCUCCACUGAAUUAAGCAGAGUUGCACUAGUGGAACAAAAAGCAGAAACUGGCCCUAAAGCUCGGAGUUGCAAAGAAGUCUAAGGAAGUUAGGUACCCAAUCCCACUGAAAAUCCAAUGGGAUCUGGGCACCUAACUUCCUUAGGUGGGGUUCACAAUGAAGUCUAGGAGUCUAGUAAAAGACAUCAAGGCCUGCUCUGCACUGGCAUUUUUCUUCCAAGUUCCCAACACCGCACCAGCAAUGGUGCAGCUCCAGCUACAAGAGCAAUAAUGGGAGGACUAAUAUCGACACGCUGCUGGCGAUUAAAUCACUAUGUUCUCCUACCUUGCUCAGAUGGGGUCCAGACAACCAGGUGGCUAACCUGCCUCUAGCAGUCAGUCUAUCCCAGCACUCCUAGCAGCAAGAGCUACACUGGGGGAAGCCCGGCCUCUGGCUCAACCAGAUUAGCACCUGUUAAAAUCUACACGGCCUUAUCUACACUUGACUGUCAGAAUGUGUUAGUUAGGACAUUACCUAACACCUUUAAGAGCUCACCGUUGAAACUCAGUCCAGAUUAAACGUAGGUCAGACAGGGAUGUGGCUAAUUCCCUUCAAAUGAACCCAUGGGAAGGCCUUGCCUGUCGUGGAGAAGCUGCCCAGCAUCCUAGCUGGAAAGAGAAAGGUGUUCUACAUGAGCUCAUCAACAGGAAAGAGAGGUAGCUUGGGGGAUCUGUCAGAAGGAAGUCCUAGUGUCCUACCAAGCGAGACCAAGCUUUGACCAGGACACAUGAACACCCUGAGAAGCUGCAGGUUUGGUGACACCAAAGGACUGGACUUCUGGCUAAAUAUGCUGAAACUGUUUCCUCUUUUUAGUCUGAACCAAGCCGAGCAAAGCCUCAGUCCUACCCCAGGGUAAGCUGACCAGAGCAGAGAGGUUCUGAGCCAAAAGGCAUGUGCAUUGAAGUGUCGUAUUUCUCCUUGUUGAGUCUUCCCUUUAAUUUCUGGUGCCAGACACUACAGCCCUAGACCACCUUCCAACAGGACAAGUGAGAGGAGGCAAGGCCAGAGGCUGGAAGAGAUUUUUGAGAUGAGCAUUUGGAAUUGUGUUAGUGACUAGGUUAAUUCUUGCCCAUCCCCUGGAUGAGGUUGAGAUGAAUGAGGAGGGCAAAGAGCUCUGAUUCAGGCGCUAUAGUCACUUUUCUACAAACAGAGGAAGGAAACAAGAACUGUCUGCACUUUGGGAGAGACACCAUGAUAUAUGGAUCCUACUCAACAGGAGGUUCCUUCACUGUAUGCCCACAGCCCUGGUGUUAUGAGACCUUUGGAUUCUAUACUUGCAAGACACGCCAGCACUUACGCAUGGUGGGUUAAUGAGAGAUGAUUGCUAUGCCCACCACAAACAAAAUAAUCAGAUUUGAAGUCCUGUUUUAGUCUUUUUUCUUCAAUUUUUCUUGUAUUUUAUCUUUAAAAAUUGAAAACAGCCCCCUUUGCUUCAGCCAGUUGUAAUUUGCCCUGAGUUUGAGUGGUUUUUCUCAUCAUGAAAA